rnacentral:rRNA from 1 species
GACGAACGCUGGCGGCGUGCUUAACACAUGCAAGUCGAACGGAAAGGCCCUGCUUUUGUGGUGUGCUCGAGUGGCGAACGGGUGAGUAACACGUGAGUAACCUGCCCUUGACUUUGGGAUAACUUCAGGAAACUGGGGCUAAUACCGGAUAGGAGCUCCUGCUGCAUGGUGGGGGUUGGAAAGUUUCGGCGGUUGGGGAUGGACUCGCGGCUUAUCAGCUUGUUGGUGGGGUAGUGGCUUACCAAGGCUUUGACGGGUAGCCGGCCUGAGAGGGUGACCGGCCACAUUGGGACUGAGAUACGGCCCAGACUCCUACGGGAGGCAGCAGCGGGGAAUAUUGCACAAUGGGCGGAAGCCUGAUGCAGCAACGCCGCGUGCGGGAUGACGGCCUUCGGGUUGUAAACCGCUUUCGCCUGUGACGAAGCGUGAGUGACGGUAAUGGGUAAAGAAGCACCGGCUAACUACGUG